rnacentral:rRNA from 1 species
AUUGAACGCUGGCGGCAGGCCUAACACAUGCAAGUCGAACGAGGGGCGGACGGGUGAGUAAUGUCUGGGAAACUGCCUGAUGGAGGGGGAUAACUACUGGAAACGGUAGCUAAUACCGCAUACCCUCAGAUGCGCCCAGAUGGGAGUAGCUAGGUGUUGGGGUAUCGGUUCACCAAGGCGACGAUCCCUCGCUGGUCUGAGAGGAUGACCAGCCACACUGCAACUGAGCCACGGUCCAGGCUCCUACGGGAGGCAGCGGUGGGGAAGAUUGCACAAUGGGCGCAAGCCUGAUGCAGCCAUGCCGCGUGUGUGAUGAAGGCCUUCGGGUUGUAAAGUACUUUCAGCGGGGAGGCGUUACCCGCUGAGGAAGCACCGGCUAACUCCGUGCCAGCAGCCGCGGUAAUAC